UACACUACAGUACAAUUAGGAUAAAUUAUUAUACAGAAAUUUGUAACUCUGCAAUUAUACCGGAUAAAAUGAUAGACUAUGAAUAUUUAAAAUAUUGGAGACAAAAUAUGGAAGAAAUAAUAUUAUUAGAAAAACUUAUGAAAGAUAAUCUAAUUGGAUAUUUUGAAACAAAAGAUAUAGAAUAUUUAGAAUACCUUCAAAAUAAUAUAAAAUAAUUACAAAACCUAAGGGAAAAAAAAUAAAGAAUACUAUAGUAAAGCAUUUAACCAAUUACCAUAUAAUCACCCCCUAAGAUAUGAAUAUCGAUAAAACUAACAUAAAUAAACUCAAAAUAAAAAUAAAAAUAAAAAUAUUUAGAGAAGUUAAGAAAUAUCCACGCAAAAAUAAAAAUAGAUCCAUUGUAUUUACAAUAGAUCUAUUUUACCACUCAAGUUAUCCGCACCCCCCUGUGCACCACCGACCGACUUUGAUCUUCUGAGAAGGGUUCGAGUGUGAGCAUACCUUUCGGGACCCAAAAGAUAGUCAACUAUGCCUGAGCAGGUGAAGCCAGAGAAAACUCUGGUGGAGGCCCACAACGAUACUAAUGUGCAAAUCGUUCGUCUGACUUGGGUAUAGGGGCGAAAGACUAAUUGAACCUUCAAGUAGCUGGUUCCCUCCGAAGUUUCCCUCAGGAUAGCUGGAGCUCGCGUGCGAGUCCUAUAGAGUAAAGCCAAUGAUUAGAGACCUCGGGGGCGCAACGCUCUCGACCUAUUCUCAAACUUUAAAUAGGUAGGACGGCGCGACUGCUUUGUUGAGCUGCGCCAUGGAAUCAAGAGCUCCAAGUGGGCCAUUUUUGGUAAGCAGAACUGGUGAUGUAGGAUGAACUAGAAUCCAGGUUACGGUACAAAACUGUGUGCUAACCUAUAUCCCACAAAGAGUGUUGGUCGAUUAAGAUAGCAGUACGGUGGUUAUGGAAGUUGAAAUCCGCUAAGGAGUGUGUAAUAACUUAUCUGCCGAAUCAACUAGUCCUAAAAAUGGAUGGCGCUUAAGCGCCCAACCUAUACCCGGCCGUUGGGACAAGUGCCAGGCCCCGAUGAGUAGGAGGGCACGGCGGUUGCUGCAAAACCUUAGGCACGAGCCUGGGCGGAGCGGCCGUCGGUGCAGAUCUUGGUGGUAAUAGCAAAUAUUCAAAUGAGAACUUUAAAGGCUGAAGAGGGGAAAGAUUCCAUGUGAACGGCACUUGCAUAUGGGUUAGUCGAUCCUAAGGGUCGGGGGAACCCCGACAGAUAGCGUGUUUUGCACGUACUUCAAAAGGGAAUCGAGUUAAAAUUCUUGAACCGGGCUGUGGCGCUCGACGGCAAUGUUAGGAAACCCAGAGACAUCGGUGGGAGCCUCGGAAAGAGUUAUCUUUUUUUUAACAGCCUGCCCACCCUGGAAUCGGCUCAGUUGGAGGUAGGGUCCAGCGGCUGGAAGAGCACCGCACGUCGCGUAGUGUCCGGUGCACUCCCGGCGGCCCUUGAAAAUCUGGAGGACCAAAUGCCGUCCACGCCCAGUCGUACUCAUAACUGUAUCAGGUCUCCAAGGUGAAUAGCCUCUGGUCGAUGGAACAAUGUAGGCAAGAGAAGUCGGCAAAAUAGAUCCGUAACUUUGGGAAAAGGAUUGGCUCUGAGGGCUGGGCAUGGGGGUCCCAGUCCCGAACUCGUCGGUUGUCGAUGGACUGCUCGAGAUGCUCCCGCAGUGAGAUCGGGUCGCCGCAUGCCGGUCGGGGGACAGACAGAAAACGGUUCCUUCGGGGGCCUUCCCCGCGCAUCAAACAGCCAACUCAGAACUAGUACGGACAAGGGGAAUCCGACUGUUUAAUUAAAAUAAAGCAUUACGAUGGUCCCAACGGAUGUUCACGCAAUGUGAUUUCUGCCAGUGCUCUAAAUGUCAAAGUGAAGAAAUUCAACCAAGUGCGGGUAAACGACGGGAGUAACUAUGACUCUCUUAAGGUAGCCAAAUGCUUUGUCAUCUAAUUAGUGAUGCGCAUGAAUGGAUUUAUGAGAUUCCCAUUGUCCCUGUCUACUAUCCAGCGAAGCCACAGCCAAAGAAAUGGGCUUGGCAGAAUCAGCGGGGAAAGAAGACCCUAUUGAGCUUGACUCUAGUCCGACUUUGUGAAAUAACUUGAGAGGUGUAGUAUAAGUGGGAACCGAAAGGCGAAAGUGAAAUACCACUACUCUUAAUGUUAUUUUACUUAUUCUGUGAAUCGGAAGGGGGGCACUACCCCUCUUUUUGGACCCAAGGUUCGCUCUACAGGCUGAUCCGGGCGGAAGACAUUGUCAGGUGGGGAGUUUGGCUAGGGCGGUACAUCUGUUAAAAGAUAACACAGAUGUCCUAAGAUGAGGUCAACGAGAACAGAAAUCUCAUGUGGAACAGAAGGGUAAAAACUCGUUUGAUUCUGAUUUCCAGUACAAAUACGAACCGUGAAAGGGUGGCCUAACGAUCCUUUAGACCUUCAAAAUUCAAAACUAUAGGUGUUAGAAAAGUUACCACAGGGAUAAUUGGCUUGUGGUAGCCAAACGUUCAUAGCAACAUUGCUUUUUGAUCCUUUGAUAUCAGCUCUUCCUAUCAUUGUGAAGCAGAAUUCACCAAGUGUUGGAUUGUUCACCCACCAAUAGAGAACAUUAGCUGGGUUUAGACCAUCGUAAAACAGGUUAGUUUUACCAUACUGAUGAUAGUGUCGCAAUAGUAAUUCAACCUAGUACGAGAGAAACCAUUGAUUCACACAAUUGGUCGUUGCGCUUGGUUGACAAGCCAGUGACGCGAAGCUACCGUGUGCUGGAUUAUGACUGAAUGCCUCUAAGUCAGAAUCUGGGAUAGAAGCAAUGCAUACGCCCGCCGUCUGCUUGCCGACCCGCGGUAGGGGCCUCAGGCACGUGUCGUUGGUUAAGCCACCACAAUGAAAGGGUUGCAGUGGCCGCCUUGAAGUACAAUUUCCAUCGAUCGGUGGGUAGAAUCCUUUACAUACGACUUAAAUAAGCGAU
rnacentral:rRNA from 1 species